AACGAACGCUGGCGGCAGGCUUAACACAUGCAAGUCGAGCGCCCCGCAAGGGGAGCGGCAGACGGGUGAGUAACGCGUGGGAAUCUACCCAUCUCUACGGAAUAACGCAUGGAAACGUGUGCUAAUACCGUAUACGUCCUUCGGGAGAAAGAUUUAUCGGAGAUGGAUGAGCCCGCGUUGGAUUAGCUAGUUGGUGGGGUAAAGGCCUACCAAGGCGACGAUCCAUAGCUGGUCUGAGAGGAUGAUCAGCCACACUGGGACUGAGACACGGCCCAGACUCCCACGGGAGGCAGCAGUGGGGAAUAUUGGACAAUGGGCGCAAACCUGAUCCAGCCAUGCCGCGUGAGUGAUGAAGGCCCUAGGGUUGUAAAGCUCUUUCACCGGUGAAGAUAAUGACGGUAACCGGGGAAGAAGCCCCGGCUAACUUCGUGCCAGCAGCCGCCGUAAAAC
rnacentral:rRNA from 1 species